CCUACGGGAGGCAGCAGUGGGGAAUCUUGUGCAAUGGACGAAAGUCUGACACAGCCCCGCCGCGUGCGGGAAGAAGGCCUUCGGGUUGUAAACCGCUUUCAGCAGGAACGAAAAUGACGGUACCUGCAGAAGAAGAUGCGGCCAACUACGUGCCAGCAGCCGCGGUGAUACGUAGGCAUCAAGCGUUGUCCGGAUUUAUUGGGCGUAAAGAGCUCGUAGGCGGUUCAGCAAGUCGGGUGUGAAAACUCUGGGCUUAACCCAGAGCCUGCACUCGAAACUGCUGUGACUAGAGUUCGGUAGGGGAGCAGGGAAUUCCUAGUGUAGCGGUGAAAUGCGCAGAUAUUAGGAGGAACACCAAUGGCGAAGGCACUGCUCUGGGCCGAUACUGACGCUGAGGAGCGAGAGCGUGGGUAGCAAACAGGAUUAGAUACCCUGGUAGUCCACGCCGUAAACGAUGGGCACUAGGUGUGGGUCUCUAACCAACGAGAUCUGCGCCGUCGCUAACGCAUUAAGUGCCCCGCCUGGGGAGUACGGUCGCAAGACUAAAACUUAAAGGAAUUGACGG
rnacentral:rRNA from 1 species